UACGUAGGGUGCGAGCGUUAAUCGGAAUUACUGGGCGUAAAGCGUGCGCAGGCGGUUCGUUGUGUCGGCGGUGAAAGCCCCGGGCUCAACCUGGGAAUGGCCGUUGAAACUGGCGAACUGGAGUGUGGCAGAGGGGGGUGGAAUUCCGCGUGUAGCAGUGAAAUGCGUAGAGAUGCGGAGGAACACCGAUGGCGAAGGCGGCCUGCUGGGCAGUUUUGCUGACACUGAGGCGCGACAGCGUGGGGAGCAACAGGG
rnacentral:rRNA from 1 species